rnacentral:lncRNA from 1 species
CAGGGAUCGCAGGUGUUGCUAGGGGACGGCGUGUGACAGGAGGAAGCUGAUCAUAAUGGGGAUGGGUCUGAGCGGGAAGCUGUCUUUGGACAGGAUGAGACUCUGGGUUAUACUGCAUAGAAAGCCAGGCUCUCUUGUAGAGAGCAGACUAGUGACGUCCAGGAAGACCCACAUUCCUAAUGACAGAGACAGUCCCAAGCAUUUCUAUCAGAUACUUAACCUGGAAGCAUUCAGUAACUAUUUACUGCCUGAGACUGGAUGGGGAGUGGAAUUCGGCAUAGUCUGUAGAAUAUUGAAAUACAAGUUGCUUGAUCACAACAGAAAAGAAGAGAGACCAAGGGUGCUAAGCGGCUUUGCCACUGUUUUCAGAGAACAUUUUCAGCACAGCCUAGGCUGGCCUUGAGUGUGAUAGCCUCAGCCUCACUGUCCCUGUGAUGAUGGUGUUACAGGUUUGUGUCAUUCCCCAGGAGGGUUUUUGCUUGUUUUAGAUUCAACAGCUAUUAGUUUUAGUGUGUUUCAAAAAUUAGAUCAAAAUUCCAUCAGUUUCCCAACUUCACAGACUUUCAAAGUGCUAAGUGUGCACUGGGAACUUACAGGGGAGGUAGUAUGACACAGAACUUCAAAUGAACAUACAGGUUAAGUAAGGAGGCUGGCAAGAUAGCUCAGUGGUGAGGGCCCUUGACUACCAUGCACCAUGCUGCCCUAAGGUCCAUCCUUGAAACCCACAUGAAGGUGGAAGGAAAGAAGCCACCACAUAAAGUCAUUCCCUGGCCCCACUAACACUUGUGCAAGCAUGCGCGCAUGCACACACACACACACACACACACACACACACACACACACACAGACAGACAGACAGACAGAGGGGACGUGGGGUUGAUUUUAAAAUACUGAACAGAAAACAAAAGUUCCCAACUCACUGGCCAUGGUUUUGUCUCCUCUGUACUCUGGUGGCCCUGGCCCGGGGACUGCACUGGGAGAUUGCUGUGCUAAGGAAGCAAUUAUGAGCUCCACUCAAGAGAGAACAAAAACGGAUGGAUUUGGAAGGGUCACUUGGGCACCACCAGGAACCUUGGCAGCAGAUCACGAGCCCCCUCUUCACUUCAGGUUUUGUUGCCAACUACUUGUCUACACGGCCCAGACCCACGGGGCACCUGCUCUCCACUGUCAGCUGCCAGCUGCCCCGCCCCGGCAGGCAGCCAUGGCAGGCCACUUUUCCAGCCCUCUACAUUCUGAACAACCUACACAGAACUUCUAGCCUCACGGCAUGCCCCUAUGUUCUGGAGUCCUUGCUAUGAACAGAG